rnacentral:piRNA from 1 species
UGAUCAGGGACAGGUCCAAGCGCGUU